GCCUGGGUGGCUCAGUUGGUUAAGUGUCUGACUUCGGCUCAGGUCAUGAUCUCAUGGUUCAUGGGUUUGAGCCCCAUGUUGGGCU
rfam:Felis catus isolate Cinnamon breed Abyssinian chromosome F1, whole genome shotgun sequence.